CCUACAGCAGCACGUCCUGCUCAGGGCGGGCUCCUGGCCCUUCCCAGCCUGCUUUGCAAGCCCUGCCUAGCGCGAUUGGAAGAGACAGCAGCACGUUAAACCCCCCACCCCGUAGAGACCCGAUUCACCGCCGCCCUUAUCUGCAUAUGCAAAUCGCAUGUAAAUGAGAUCCGCGGACGGCGUUACCCCCCUGGCCUGCCCAGCGCAGCCCCAACGCGCUGCCGGGGCGCGGGACGCAGACACACGUGACAGCCCGGUGUGGACGCGGCCACAGCCCGGACCGAGCACACGUGCGGGCUGCAAACGGCUCCCAGCCCCAUCCCCCCGCGGAGCCCAUCGCCGGCUGACCGCUCCGGGAGGGAGGGAGGAGCCCCCCGCCCACACCAAGCCCCUUGCAGGGCCCACGGCACAUAGGAACAGGCUCCUCUUGCCUGGGGGCGCUGCCCAGGAGCCCGGGGUGACCUGCCUGCGGCUCAGCUGCUUCUGGGUCCAAGCCCUGUGCUGCCCUGAGACCGUGCACAUUCAUCACUGUGGUGGGGACAAAAAUACAAAAAAACCCCAGGCAAUUAGUCCACACUGGUGGAGGGGGCCAGCUUUCCACCACGUGGGGGACCAGGGUAACAGCUAUUGGGCACGAUUAUAAGUGGCUCUGAGCUAACAGAUUAGUGUAAAACAAAGUAUAAAGGAGCACGUAUGUCAAGUGACCAGCAUGACGGAUGGGACAGAAGGACCAUUGCUGAACCAAGCCUGGACCCCAGACUCCCAGUGUGAGCAAAGAUUGGAUCCUGACCUAGAGCUCUUCCUGGUGACCCCUCGGACAGCAUUGAUUGGGGACGCCCGAGUUCGCUGGAGCAACUUGCCGUGCACCUGGCAUAGAGGGACUGCUGAUAAGUUGCCAACCCCAUGUGCGAACUCUUUGCCAUUCUGUCUGUCUGUUGUUAUCAUUCACUAUUAGCUCUUUAUUACUGUACUACCUGUUUGUCACAUUAGCCUUUCUGUUAACUGUUGUAUGCUGAGCUAUCAGUAAAUUUGCCUUUGCUUCA